GAGAGAGAGCGAUGGAGAGACGAUCGUGAGCGAUUGGGUUUCUGAGAGAGAGCGAUGAGGAAGGAUUCGUAGCAUUAUGGAGAGACGAUCGUGAGCGAUUGGGUUUCUGAGAGAGAGCGAUGAGGAAGGAUUCGUAGCAUGAGGGAGAUGAGGGAGUGUUACUGUUGAUUCAUUUUCUUUCUUUUAUUUUAUUUCAUUUUUUUUGAAAAAAGAAAUAACGUUUAAACUUCUUAGAUCUUCAUUUAAUAGUAUUUUCAUUUACUAGGGUAUUAAUAUAGCAUUUUAGUAUUCCCAAUCAAUCAGCAUCUAAAACCCAACAGCCAUGCGGCUGGGUUUAACUACCAGUAGACCAAUAGUUUUCUUUUUUAUUUUAGUUUUUAUUUUAAUCUUUUUUUAAUUUACCUUAAUUUAUAUAUUUAAGUUU
rnacentral:lncRNA from 1 species